rnacentral:rRNA from 2 species
AGUGGCAGACGGGUGAGUAACGCGUGGGAACGUACCCUUUGGUUCGGAACAACUCCGGGAAACUGGAGCUAAUACCGGAUGUGCCCUUCGGGGGAAAGAUUUAUCGCCAAGGGAUCGGCCCGCGUCGGAUUAGCUUGUUGGUGGGGUAACGGCCUACCAAGGCUAUGAUCCGUAGCUGGUCUGAGAGGAUGAUCAGCCACACUGGGACUGAGACACGGCCCAGACUCCUACGGGAGGCAGCAGUGGGGAAUAUUGGACAAUGGGCGCAAGCCUGAUCCAGCCAUGCCGCGUGAGUGAUGAAGGCCUUAGGGUUGUAAAGCUCUUUCGCCAGGGACGAUAAUGACGGUACCUGGAUAAGAAGCCCCGGCUAACUUCGUGCCAGCAGCCGCGGUAAUACGAAGGGGGCUAGCGUUGUUCGGAAUUACUGGGCGUAAAGCGCAUGCAGGCGG